rnacentral:tRNA from 1 species
GGGAAUAUAGCUCCAUUGGUAGAGUGCUUGCCUUGUAUGCACAAGGCCCUGGGUUUAAUCCCCAGUACCUCA